CGCCGAAGAGGCCCCCAGGGCGGCCGACGACGCCUUUAGCGGCCUUCCGGAGACACAGCAAGUCUGGCCUACGGUGGGGUGGCGGCAUGCGCAGCAUGGUCGUCGUUUGAUUCAGGAGCGACCUCCGGCUGCUGAACAACCAGUCACUGGAGCACGUGUGGAUGGCCUCUGGCACUGUCCUCACCAAUGGAGGAGCCUCGCCUACGCUGCAGUGCUGCAGGGCGGUGGUCGGGGUGGUCCGCACCGGCGCCUACAAUGUGUGCCUCAUCCUAACUGGCAAAGUGAUCUUCAGCCUCCCCAUCAACUACACCCUCGGCAUCUCCCUUCCGAGGAUCUGCAAGUCACUCCCCGUCCCGCUCGUUUUUAGAAUACAGCGACGCAGAUCCUAGCUCCAGAUGUCUUAAAUUCUCCUUUGUUGACCUUGCCUUGACAUCGCCUCGAUGUCUCGCAAUUCUUCCGCACUGUUGCCACCGGAUUCGUCGGUUGAUGAGAAGGCGCUGUUGCCGUGAGUGGAAUCGACGCCGAUCAUGCAGGGGCAGAGAUAGGUGGUGGUACCCAUCAUGCGUUGGUAGAUAUGUUUUUGCAAGUCUGUGUUACACUUGGUAUUGUGUGCGUAUGUAUGUAGUUAGACAAGUAAAUCUGUUUCAUGGAGGAGAGAGUGCAGCUCUGUGAAGAGUUCAUGAAUACUUCUGAAAGAAUGAUCAGCUGACAGUCUAUAAAAGGUAUAGAAAUGGCAUGCUUGGUCCAAAGUACAACAGUUUGUUGGCUUGCUUCGGACAGUCUUUCGCCGUGCUAUAUUUGUCAAGAGGUAAUGACAUAUGAGAAGCAAAGAGGAUCAAAUGAUUCCACAUACUGGUAAUGACAUAUGAGAAGCAAAGAGGAUCAAAUGAUUCCACAUACUGGGUAUUAUUUGAACUGAUAUGGGGGGCUACUUCAGAUUCCUUUUCAGCAAAAUAUGGGAACUCCAUUUUCUUGCAAGGGUAACCAUAGCAUCUACAUUGCUUUAUGCCUGAAACUGAGAGCUUUGGAACAGUGCUAUGCGCUAUUGGACAAGUAGAUACAGAGAUACCUAUCAGUGAUGGUCAGCAGCAAAUACGAGAAAUGUUAGAUACAUCCACACUCUUUCUUGAUCUAUGGUAACAAUGUUACGCUGAUGACAUAGUUUAUUUAGCUCUCAAGAAUGGCUGCUUAUCGUUCAAGAAUCUGGACAACUACUUCUAUUUCGUAUUCAUACUAAAACUUCUAUGAAGCAACAAAUUUUCCUUCUUGUGAAUUUGUUCUGAAGCUACUAAAAUAUCCCCUUGUACUGAAAUAAGAUUUCUACUCAAACUUUGUCAAGAUACUAAAUUUUACUUGCUUGCUCAUGCCUUAAAAUCUACCUUGUUGCCGAAAUUUAAUGAGGAGCUCAAGGGAAAAAAUGAACCAAGGAGAAGGGAGCCAGAGAAGGAGAAUUAAGAUGUGCCUUUCACUUAUAAUUUCUAAACACUACAGGAAUCAUGAUAUCGUGUUAGCAUAAUUGCAUGGUUACGUGUUAGAAGUGUGAGUGUGGGAGGCUUGGCCGGGGGAUUGUGAGCUGGAGAUUGUGGAGGAAAAUAAACAAGACUGAUUUGACUGUAAAAAAAUGUUGAUGUGCUUUUUAUGAAAUAUUUGGCCAAUCAUGUGUUGCAACGUGGGCACAUAUUUUCAUAGUUCUAUAUCAGUCAUAUCUGACAGAGAUCUGGAUGUUCGGUAUAUGAUAUGUAGUAUACUAUGCAGACCGCUGUUAAAUAUCAUAUACCCAGCCCGUGUACUACAUAUCAUAUAUCCACUCUGCACACUACAUAUCAUAUACCCAGUCUAAUGAACCAUGCGGUUCUGGCAUGAAGAAAAAUCCGUAUAUGGAUUUUUUUCAUGGUUCAUGGGACCAACAACAUUGAAAGAGCAUUUCAGCUGUAUGAUUAGGCUUCUUGAAUUCUGACGUGGAGUAUGUGAUCGCGAGCUCACAGGAGCUCGGAAUCACGCCCGUCCAGAAUUGCUAUGAGAUUCGUCGCAUUAAAUGCUAUAGCCAGUUGGCGGGUCCAUGCCGACGAAGGAAAGUUAGGAUAUACGGCACAAUACGCGUCUGACAGAUGGGGCAAGGUGGACGGAGGGGUGCACGGCGUCGCCUGUGCAUGCCUGAGCCGUGGGUCGAGCUUGUCGCAGGCGUCCUGAUCCGUGGAUCAGGUACGGUGCUUUCUGCUAGCGCCGGCAGUGCCCGAUCUAAAUGCAGUAGUUGGGUCAGUCGCUGGUUACGGGAGUGAAGUUGGAUUUGCCUCUCGUCCCGGUCGGUGAAGAGGUGGAGAUAUUUACUCCGGCGACGGCGACUGGGCGGUGCAGCGACCUCGGACAGGCUCCGGCGACCAUGGAGUUCUUACUGCAGCCGCUAAACAGUAGAACACUCCUGGAAGAGGUGAAUGAUAACAACGGGGCAAUGGAGCCCGUGCGGUUCCCAGUAUCCGCGGUGGCUGAGGUUGAGGAUCCAGCACCGGCCGCUUCAAGUGCUGACGGGCAGAUCUGCGGGGCGGAGGCAGCAGGCGCGGACAUGGCUCAGUGCUCCGAGCACUCAAUGGAGCAAAUUGACCCAAAAACACCAGGGCGGACGCAAAGAGUGCAUGUAGGUGCUGCUGCUCUAGGAAGGCCUCCUUGCCCGGACAGGGUCACGGAGCUGGAGAAGACUGACAGGGAAUUUGCCGAGCAUCCAGGUGACAUAGUUAUGGUGCCAAAGAUUGGAACAAAUUUUGACACGCUCGGAGAAGCUUAUGACUUUUAACUCCUGGAAGAAAGGAUUUGGAAUACGAUAUGGAAAGAGCAGGCUAAACGUUAGCAGGACUAAGUGUAUGCAAGAUAUAGUCUGUGGAUGCGCGGGGAAGCCAAUCGUUGAAAAUACUCGUUCAUGCCGGUGUGAAUGCCCAGCCCUCAUCAGACUACUGCGGACAAAGGACAAUGGAUGGUACGUAGCAGAGCACCGAGAUGGGCACAACCAUGCACUUUCCCAAACAUAUGGACAGACAAUACACUGGCCUACGGCAGUGAGCGCGGAAGCACGGAUCUGCGUGAUGGACACAGCAGCGGUGGUCAAUGAGGGACAGCUCGCGUCAGGCCUCGGAGCUCUGAACUGGAAAGAUGAAUCCACAUGCUUCUAUCUGGAAUUAGAGGAUAAAGCUGGUGUUGAGAACACGAGGUCUUGUCGUUGCGAAUGCCCGGCUCUAAUAAGACUGCUACGGGCAGAGGACAAUGGGUGGUACAUUGCAGAGCACAGGGAGAGUCACAACCAUUCCCUUUCACUGAAUUUGGAUCUGAAACUGCAUUGCAUCAGUGGUGAUUGAACUCAAGUUCUGGCCGGAUUUCCAUUGAUUGAGGAGGUGGACGGCACGUAAUGCUUGAGGUGUCCGUCUAGGACACCGGUGGCCGCGGAUGCCAUUGAUGUCCAUCAGGUGUCGACAGCAGCCAUUAGUGCCGAAGGGCAGGUCUGUGAGCUGGCUGCUAGUGUGGGCUCCGGGAAGGAGAGCUCCCCGCCGGAAUUGGAGCUGUCUGCGGGGAAACUCAAUCCGCAAGCACCAUGGUUGGCAAUGAGGAUUCGCAUUGGAUCAGCGAGUCCAUUUAGAGGCAGCGUGGUCAAGUUAGCCGGACUGUGGGCGCCCGCAAUAAUAAAAGAGAUUGGGAGACCAUGCAGACCUGCUCACUGCAAGAACCACGGUGUACAGGGUCACUCGAGAUUUUUUUUGUACAAGCCGGGUGAAAUGAGACUGGGUUCAGGGGCUUGAGUCGGCGUUCAUGCCAAAUGGUUAGACAGUUGGGUUCGAAUUCCCUCCAGUUGUGCAUCACAAAGAGUUUUUAGUUAUGUCAACGUGCGUGUGUUAUUUGUGCUGUAAUGAUCCUCUAUUUCCUCUGUGGACAAAGAAUUGGUUCAAUGGGACUGAUAUGGUACGUGAAUUUUAGACUGAACGACAAUUGAUGUGCAUCUAAACUUCAUGUCCUAUUUGUACGUGGCAGUAUUACUCGUGUGAGCUGUAGGCAGAAAUUGGUUAGGAUCUAAUCCUUGCUCUGUUUUGAAUUCUGAGACAAGGAACAAUUGACGGGCGGUAGAAGGCUCGGGGUCGGAGAAAAUGGCUCAGCUCGUUAGCGAUCCAGCUGUCCCGAUUCUAGGUGACGGCAACAGGCUUAAUAAAUGUUGGGCCAUAGUGGGCCAAGCAACAGAUUGAUGGGACAUAUACUAUUUGGAAUACGCCUGCUUAUACACUGGGAUGUCCGAAUCUUGCAGAGAAACAAUGUGGGAGAUAACGAGAGUCUGUGCGCUCGAGCUCAAUUCAGCAUUUUCGAUCCCGUCUCCAAGUUUUAAUGUUUGAUCUGCGUGUUAUUGACCUAAGAGAAAAUGGGUUCUGAAGCUUCGAUAUGAUGUAUUUCUAACAAAUAGCGACGAAAUCAAUACCUCACACGGGCAAUUACUCUUAUAUGGUUUGAUGCUUGAAAAAUUGUAGAGUCAGCACCUCUUUUUAAAGUGUACACGAUGCAAUAAAAAAAAGCAUCUUGAGUACCAU